rnacentral:rRNA from 1 species
UCAGGAUGAACGCUAGCUACAGGCUUAACACAUGCAAGUCAGGGGCAGCAUGGAGUUGCUUGCAAACUCUGAUGGCGACCGGCGCACGGGUGAGUAACGCGUAUCCAACCUUCCCUAUAGUAGAGGAUAGCCCGGCGAAAGUCGGAUUAAUACUCUAUGUUUCCGUUGCAGACAUCUAAGAUGGAACAAAGGCUUGCCGCUAUAGGAUGGGGGAUGCGUCUGAUUAGGUAGUCGGCGGGGUAACGGCCCACCGAGCCAUCGAUCAGUAGGGUCUGAGAGGAAGGUCCCCCACAUUGGAACUGAGACACGGUCCAAACUCCUACGGGAGGCAGCAGUGAGGAAUAUUGGUCAAUGGGCGAGAGCCUGAACCAGCCAAGUAGCGUGCAGGAUGACGGCCCUAUGGGUUGUAAACUGCUUUUAUGCGGGGAUAAAGUUCACUACGUGUAGUGUUUUGUAGGUACCGCAUGAAUAAGGACCGGCUAAUUCCGUGCCAGCCGCGGC